rnacentral:rRNA from 1 species
UACGUAGGGGGCGAGCGUUGUCCGGAUUUACUGGGCGUAAAGAGCGCGCAGGCGGUCGUUCAAGUCGCGUGUGAAAGCCCCCGGCUCAACUGGGGAGGGUCACGCGAUACUGAUCGACUCGAAGGCAGGAGAGGGAAGUGGAAUUCCCGGUGUAGUGGUGAAAUGCGCAGAUAUCAGGAGGAACACCGGUGGCGAAGGCGGGUCUCUGGGCCGAUACUGACGCUGAGGAGCGAAAGCGUGGGGAGCAAACAGG